rnacentral:rRNA from 1 species
CAGCAGCCACGGUAAUACAGAGGGUGCAAGCGUUAAUCGGAAUUACUGGGCGUAAAGCGCGCGUAGGUGGUUUGUUAAGUUGGAUGUGAAAGCCCCGGGCUCAACCUGGGAACUGCAUCCAAAACUGGCAAGCUAGAGUACGGUAGAGGGUGGUGGAAUUUCCUGUGUAGCGGUGAAAUGCGUAGAUAUAGGAAGGAACACCAGUGGCGAAGGCGACCACCUGGACUGAUACUGACACUGAGGUGCGAAAGCGUGGGGAGCAAACAGGAUUAGAUACCCGGGUAGUCCCUGUCUCUUAUAA